GUGGGUGUAGCUCAGUCGGUCAGAGCGCCUGGUUGUGGCCCAGGAGGUCGGGGGUUCAAAUCCCCUCACUCACCCCA
rnacentral:tRNA from 2 species